rnacentral:rRNA from 1 species
AGAACGAACGCUGGCGGCAGGCCUCAAACAUGCAAGUCUAGGGGGUGUAGCAAUACAUCACCGGCGGACGGGUGCGUAACACGUGGGAAUGUACCUACUGGUUCGGAACAACGCAGGGAAACUUGCGCUAAUACCGAAUAAGCCCGAAAGGGGAAAGAUUUAUCGCCAGUAGAUCAGCCCGCGUAGGAUUAGCUAGUUGGUGGGGUAAUGGCCCACCAAGGCUCCGAUCCUUAGCUGUUCUGAGAGGAAGAUCAGCCACACUGGGACUGAGACACGGCCCAGACUCCUACGGGAGGCAGCAGUUGGGAAUCUUGGACAAUGGGGGAAACCCUGAUCCAGCCAUGCCGCGUGAGUGAUGAAGGCCUUCGGGUUGUAAAACUCUUUCGACGGGACGAUAAUGACGGUACCCGUAGAAGAAGCUCCGGCUAACUUCGUGCCAGCAGCCGC